rnacentral:rRNA from 1 species
AACGAACGCUGGCGGCAGGCUUAACACAUGCAAGUCGAACGCCCCGCAAGGGGAGUGGCAGACGGGUGAGUAACGCGUGGGAAUCUACCUAGUUCUACGGCACAACUGAGGGAAACUUCAGCUAAUACCGUAUACGACCUUCGGGGGUAAGAUUUAUCGGAUUUAGAUGAGCGCGCGUAAGAUUAGCUAGUUGGGGAGGUAAUGGCUCACCAAGGAGACGAGCUUUAGCUGGUCUGAGAGGAUGAUCAGCCACACUGGGAGUGAGACACGGCCCAGACUCUUACGGAAGGCAGCAGUGGGGAAUAUUGGACAAUGGGCGCAAGCCUGAUCCAGCCAUGCCGCGUGAGUGAUGAAGGCCUUAGGUUUGUAAAGCUCUUUCAGUGGGGAAGAUAAUGACGGUACCCACAGAAGAAGCCCCGGCUAACUUCGUGCCAGCCGCCGCAGUAAUAC